UCUAUUUUCACUUCUAAAACAAAUUAGGUGUUACUUUCGAAAUCAAGGAUUUAGAGAGAUUUAAAAACUAUUCACACUCAAUUGACUUAUUGAAACCCUUGACCAGUAAUAAAUUUUAUUUUUUAUUUUUUGUUUUGUGAAUUUUCUCCAGGAUUGCUGAGUUGGAAGGCAUGCUGAACCUGGCAACAGAAAAUACAAACAAUAUUAGACGUCAGAAUAUGUCACAUUUAGAAAAGGAGGAGCAACUUCGUCGAGAUAUUGAGCUAGGAGAUAAAGAAAUAGGACUACUUACAUCAGAGUUGGCUCAAACACAAUCAAAACUGUUAAGAGCUCAG